CAGUACAAGAAUAUAAGUCAUUAUAUGUACUAUUUGAUGGAAUCAAACCUGAAAUAUAUAUGACUUUUGAAGAAAUAAUAAAAGAAAAGCUAGACGCAAGGAAAAGGAAAGAGGAUAUUACGUGGAAGAAAUAUUUAGAUGUCAAUGAAGCCUUGAAUAGAGCAAGAAGUAUGAUAGGAGAAAAUUACUACAUAGAACCAAAAGCCAAAGAAUAUAUCCAAAAGUUCAAAGGAGUAGAUAAGGAUAUUCCUUCUUCGUCAAAUAUAAAGAAUAUAAAGGAAGAAAUAUUAAUUUUAAAAAAAGCAAAGGAAGAAGAAUCUCCUAAAUAUAGCACAUACAAAGACUGCUUAGUAAAAGGAGUGGAUCCUCUGGAUUAUGAAUAUAUAGACAUGAAGAUAAACGAAACAUUAGAAGACACUUCAAAGUUAUGGAAAGAAGAGUUAAAAGAAGAAAUUUAAAAAGAAUUACGACUUGAAUUUACGCAAAAAUUCGAAGAAAUAAAGAAAGAGUAUGACCUAAAAUAUGACCUGACUCUUUCAAAAUAUGAAUUCAAUCGUAGUUCAAUCGUAUUAAAUAACAAUAUAACGACACAAGUAAAUAAGGUUGGAAAUAGUAAGAACAAUAAUACGGUCCAGAGCAACAAAAAUAAAGAUGUAGAUGAAGAGGAGCAGUGGGACAUAAAUAAAAAGUUAUUAACAGAAAGUUAUGAAGAAGAAGAAGAAGAAUUAAUGAAAGAAUUGCUUCAAGAAGAUGAAAAUUUUGAUGGGUCCGAGGAAUAUAGUGAUUUUAUAAACUCCAUAGAUGAGGUGGGUUUACAUAAUUUAGAAAAUUCAAUGGAAGCUAUGGAAGUAGAAAUGACUAGUAAAAGAAGAAGAGCAUGUGGUGAUAGUUCAGUAAAGAGUGAAGGAGCAAGAGAGAGACCUACCAGGGCAGCUGGUAAAUGGCCCCCAAAAGAAGAUGACUUCCAACCAACUUAUAUUUCCGGACAAUACAAAUAUAUGGGAUCUAGGAGAAGAGAUUUUGAAAAGCCCGUACAAUUUCAAAAUUCUAGGAAUGAUGGGGCAAUAUUAAAUCUAGCAGCCCAUGACCCGGUAGAUUGGCCUAAUAUAAUUAGCAUAUGAAAAGGUUUAAUAGUUUAGAAAUAUAUACAAAAUCUGCAUAAUAUAGGUAAUAAGGUGGAAGAUAUGAUAACAUACCUUGAAACUUUUCUAGGAGAAUCUGCAAAGGUUUUAUGGGAACAAUGGGUAGAGCCAUAUCCUAAUCAAUAUGAAGAAUUAAAAAGGGCUGGAAGUAAUCCCCAUAAUUUUGCCAAUAUUAUAGCAUAAUCAUAGCAGAAGAUCCAGUUAUGGGACAUACCACAUUGCAGAAUGAGAGAUUGAAAGAAAUAGAAAAAUUAACGCUAACUAGUUGGAAAGGUAUAAAAGAAUUCUCUCAGCAUUAUUUAUACAAUGCUACCACUGCUAAGCAAUGAUAUAAUAAAGGGGUAGUUGAAAGAUACUUCAAUAAAUUACCUGAUCCUUUAGGAUCUAUAAUAUUUGAAGAGUAUAAGAAAGAAUCAAAUGGAAAUGUUGCAAAUAUAUCUCAGGCCAUAACAUUUGUAUUUAAACAACUACGAAAGGUAUGUACGAAUAUACAAACUCAAAGAUCUAUGAAAAAAUCAGACUACAAUUUCUGCAAUAAUAUUGUUCAAAUACCGCUAACAUAUGGAGAAAAUAGGCAUAGGAAUAAAAAAUAUUACAAACCACAGAGGAGAGAUAAUAGGAACUUUAGGACAAAGAAAAGAUAUUUCUUAAGAAGGUCUGAUAAUAGAGCUCCUUAUCUACAUAAGAGAAAUGUAAGAAGAUACGAUCCUAGAAAAUCUUAUGAUAAGACAUGUAGAUGUUUUAUAUGUAAUUCACCAGAUCAGAUCAUCUAAGUAAAACAUGUCCUAAUAAAGAUCAGAAAAGGUACUCUAGUAAAUAUGAAGAGCAAAAAAGAGUGUUAAUUAUAGAUAGCGUUAACGAGAAUAUCCUAGUAUGUGAUAAGAAAAUAAAAGAUGAUGAGUCGAUAUAUUCAAUCAUAGAAACAGAUGAAGUAGAAAAUGAGACUUUAGAAGAUGAAUCGAGCGAAGAUGAAUUAGACCUAAUAGACGAUUUAGCAGGAUUAAAAAUUGAAAUGAUGAAUCAAGUAGAUUGUGAACAUGAUUGGAUUAGAGGUAAAGGUGAUUAUAACAUGAAAUGUGCCUUUUGUAUAUAUUAUCCAAGCCAAGAAAAUAGGUGCACAUGCAGCUUAUGCUUAAGACAAGCGUGUGCAUCUUGUUUAAAGGCUAGAAAUCAAAGUUGGAGACAGGAAAUAGAAUGUGAACCAGAAGAACGAAUAUUAUCUAGUAGAGUUAGAAACUUAGAGAACAGAAUAAAUAAACUAGAAGCAGAACUAGAAGAAAUAAAAUAUAAUUUAGAAAAUAAAAAUAUUAUUAAUAAUCAAGAUCAAGAAGAUAACAUUAUCAAAAAUACAGAAUUAAAAGACCAAAUGAUCACAGUAAAAGAAAGAAAAGGGGACAGGUUAAUCCAGCUAAAAGAUGCUACUACUAGCUUUGGAAACAAAUACAUAGUACGUUUACCAUUUAAGGAAGUGUUAGGAAUAAGAAUUCCAGUCAAACUAAUAUUAAAACCAAAUAUUUCCUAUAAAAUAUUAGCACUGUUAGACACAGGGUGCACAAAGAACAUCAUUCAUGACAAGUAUUUUGCGAGAUGCCCUGAAAUAGUUAAAACUAUAGACAACGAUAAAGCUGAAGUCUCCACAGACAUGUCAGGAAUACAAAAGAUUCACAAUCAAUUGGCCACUAUUAUACAACAAUCCUUACAAACCACUAUUAUACAUGAAGGAGUUACAUUCAUCCCAUAUCAAGAUAACGUUCCAUACAUAUCUGAGAUUAUAAGACAGAGAAAAUCCAUACAAAAUGUAGAAAUAUCUAAUAUAAAUGAAGAAUAUAGUGCCAAUGAAGACUCUCUUGAAAUCUGCAAAGAAGAAGAGCUUAGUAAUGCCAUAGAAGAAUACCAUAUAGAAAAUACAUGUACAGAAUGUAUAGGUUUACAAUCAUUCUCACCAAAUUGGUAUAGAGAUAUAAAAACCAAGAAAGAUAUAGACAAAAUAGUGCAAAAAUUAGAAGACAUACAAAUCAUUGGAGAAAUACCAAUGAAACAUUGGGAUAAGAACUCUAUAGUCUGCAAGAUAAAUAUUAUCAACCCUAAUUACAUAAUCAAGUUAGGACCAAUAGAAGCUACUCCUAAGGAUGUAGAAGAGUUUAAAAUGCAUAUCGAAGAGUUAUUAAAAUUAAAAGCUAUUAGGGAAAGCAGAAGUCCUCAUCGAUCUGCCGCCUUUAUAGUUAGAAAUCAUGCUGAAGAAGUCAGCGGAAAAUCUAGAAUGGUUAUAAAUUACAAAAGACUUAAUGAUAAUACGGUAGAUGAUGCAUUCAAUAUUCCAAAUAAGCAAGAAUGGAUUAAUAGAAUACAAGGAAGCAAAUGUUUUUCUAAGUUUAACCUAAAGGCUGGGUUUUGGCAAGUAAAACUGGCCGAGGAAUCUAUUCCUUGGACAGCUUUUACAUGUCCUCAGGGUCAUUAUGAAUGGCUAGUUAUGCCUUUAGGAUUAAAAAAUGCUCCCGCUUUAUUUCAAAGAAAGAUGCAAAAUAUUUUUAAUAAAAAUCAAUCGUUUAUAUUAGUUUAUGUAGAUGAUUUACUGGUUUUCUCAAAAUCUUACAAGGAGCAUAUUGCUCACCUUGAAGUCUUUUAGGAAGGUAGAACAAAAUGGGCUAAUAUUAUCUAAAAAGAAAAUGGAGAUUUGUAAAGAGAAAAUCAAUUUUCUUGGGCACGAAAUAGGAGAAGGAAAAAUACAUCUGCAAGAGCAUAUUGCAAAGAAAAUUUUACAAUUUCCUGAUUCUAUGAAUGAUAAAAAGGUUCUACAACAAUUCCUAGGGAUUGUAAACUAUGCAAGAAAUUAUGUAGAUAAUCUAGCAAAACUAGCUGGACCUUUAUAUGCUAAAUUAAGAUAGAAUGGCCAAAGUUAUUUUAAUUCUGAAGACAUAAAGUUAGCCAAGGCCAUAAAAGAAAAGGUCAAAAAUUUGAAACCUUUAGAAUUGCCAUUACAAGAUUAUUACUUUAUAAUCGAAACAGAUGCAUGUAAAGUAGGUUGGGGUGCUAUAUUAAAGCAAAAACCUAAUAAGUACUCUCCAAAGGCAGAAGAAAAGAUAUGUAGGUAUGCCUCAGGAAGUUAUAAAUUAAAAACAGUAAAUAAUAUUGAUAGAGAAAUCCUUGCGGUAGUCCAUGCAAUAAACGCGUUUAGACUAUACUUGGGAUUUAAAGAAUUUACAGUACGCACUGAUUGUGAAGCAAUAUGUAGAUACUAUAAUCAAAUCAAUAGUAAGAAAAGUUCUACUAGAAGAUGGGUUUUAUUUGAAGAUAUCAUAACUGGAAAUGGAUAUAAAGUUGUUUUUGAGCAUAUUAAGGGAAAAGAUAAUUGUUUACCUGACAUAUUCUCCCAUUCACCAAUCUUACAGGAAUGAAGCGUGGGUAGCUUCCCAAUGGGGUGGAAGUAUUUACCUUUGGAAAUGAAAACACACUAAAAAUAUUUCCCCCGAAUAUAUUUAAAUUCAAACCUAAGGGACAUAUUGCCCUCAAUGAAAUUCAAGAAUGCAUACUUGACAAUUUAUGGUUUCAAUAUAAUAAUAAAAGAGAAGAAAAAGGCUAUAUGCUAUCAAUUCUGAAUAGUCUAGCUGAAUAUUUCAAUAUGAUGAACAAGAAGUUACCAAUAUCAGCAAAUAUUGCAGUACAAGAAUAUAAGUCAUUAUAUGUACUAUUUGAUGGAAUCAAACCUGAAAUAUAUAUGACUUUUGAAGAAAUAAUAAAAGAAAAGCUAGACGCAAGGAAAAGGAAAGAGGAUAUUACGUGGAAGAAAUAUUUAGAUGUCAAUGAAGCCUUGAAUAGAGCAAGAAGUAUGAUAGGAGAAAAUUACUACAUAGAACCAAAAGCCAAAGAAUAUAUCCAAAAGUUCAAAGGAGUAGAUAAGGAUAUUCCUUCUUCGUCAAAUAUAAAGAAUAUAAAGGAAGAAAUAUUAAUUUUAAAAAAAGCAAAGGAAGAAGAAUCUCCUAAAUAUAGCACAUACAAAGACUGCUUAGUAAAAGGAGUGGAUCCUCUGGAUUAUGAAUAUAUAGACAUGAAGAUAAACGAAACAUUAGAAGACACUUCAAAGUUAUGGAAAGAAGAGUUAAAAGAAGAAAUUUAAAAAGAAUUACGACUUGAAUUUACGCAAAAAUUCGAAGAAAUAAAGAAAGAGUAUGACCUAAAAUAUGACCUGACUCUUUCAAAAUAUGAAUUCAAUCUUUCAGAUGAUGAUCACAUGGAUAUUGCAGGCCAUGGGCAGAAAGCAGAAUUUUAAUUGAUAUUACUAUCAAUUAUUCGGGCGGGGAGGACAUAUACACCACCUCCGAACAUAUACACCUAUACCCGAAUAGUUGAUAGAAUAUAAUUUGAAUAUGAUUGAAAACUGAAAAAAAAAUACAUAAAUAAUAUUAAAAAUAAAUAAAUUUAUGAAAAAUAUUAAAUCUUAAGAUCCAUUGUUAGCAUGUAUUAGGCAUAUAAGACCCAUCAUCAGCAUCCAAGAUCACAAAUGCAUGAGAUUCUAUGAUUUAUGGUGUGCAGACGAAGAAUAGCCAAGGAAGUAGACAAUAAGGCCGCAGUGUGUCGUGAACACUAUCAUUAAAGCACAAGACUACUCUCAGGAUGAAGGAAGCCACAUUCGUAUGCAACCAAAGAGUGAAGUGGCAGCCAAAAAACCUCAUCUUCUUCAUGCAUGCAUGCACUCAAGAGGCUAUAAAGAAGGCCUAGGACCUAUAAAGAAGAGGCAUCAUGACCAAGAAGAAAGGAGAGGUAAAUAAUGCAUGGGAGCACUAUUAAAGCCAGCCAUAUCUUGCCUAUAAAAGGAGCCUUCUUGCUGCGAUGGAGGACACACAACAUCGCUGAGAACACAAGCCUUCAGUAGCAGAG
rnacentral:lncRNA from 1 species